rnacentral:rRNA from 1 species
CCGUCUACUCUUGGACAGCCUUCUGAAAGGAAGAUUAAUACAAGAUGGCAUCAUGAGUCCGCAUGUUCACAUGAUUAAAGGUAUUCCGGUAGACGAUGGGGAUGCGUUCCAUUAGAUAGUAGGCGGGGUAACGGCCCACCUAGUCUUCGAUGGAUAGGGGUUCUGAGAGGAAGGUCCCCCACAUUGGAACUGAGACACGGUCCAAACUCCUACGGGAGGCAGCAUG